rnacentral:rRNA from 1 species
AACGAACGCUGGCGGCAUGGAUUAGGCAUGCAAGUCGAACGAGGUAGCAAUACCGAGUGGCGAAAGGGUGAGGAACGCGUGAGUAAUCUGCCCCUAAGUUGGGAAUAACAGUUGGAAACGACUGCUAAUACCGAAUGUGGCUUGGAGAUCGCAUGAUCUUCUGGCUAAAGAUUUAUCGCUUAGGGAUGAGCUCGCGUCCCAUUAGUUAGUUGGUGAGGUAACGGCUCACCAAGACGAUGAUGGGUAGCUGGUCUGAGAGGAUGGUCAGCCACACUGGGACUGAGACACUGCCCAGACUCCUACGGGAGGCUGCAGUCGAGAAUCUUGGGCAAUGCGCGAAAGCGUGACCCAGCAAUGCCGCGUGUAUGAUGAAGGUCUUCGGAUCGUAAAAUACUGUCUCCCGUGACGAAAGAUGACGGUAGCGGGGAAGGAAGCCACGGCUAACUACGUGCCAGCAGCCGCCGUAAGAC